AACGAACGCUGGCGGCAGGCCUAAUACAUGCAAGUCGAACGGGAUUGAUUGUAGCAAUACGGUCAUGAGAGUGGCGCACGGGUGCGUAACACGUAUGCAACCUACCUGUAACUGGGGGAUAGCCUCCCGAAAGGGAGAUUAAUACCGCAUAACAUUAUGAAGUGGCAUCACUUUAUAAUCAAACCUCCGGGGGUUACAGAUGGGCAUGCGUCCGAUUAGCUAGUUGGUGAGGUAACGGCUCACCAAGGCUCCGAUCGGUAGGGGGUCUGAGAGGAUGAUCCCCCACACUGGUACUGUGACACGGACCAGACUCCUACGGGAGGCAGCAGUAAGGAAUAUUGGACAAUGGGCGCAAGCCUGAUCCAGCCAUGCCGCGUGAAGGAUGAAGGCCCUAUGGGUCGUAAACUUCUUUUAUACGGGAAAAAACCCCCCGACGUGUCGGGGGUUGAUGGUACUGUAAGAAUAAGGGUCGGCUAACUUCGUGCCAGCAGCCGCGGUAAUAC
rnacentral:rRNA from 1 species